rnacentral:rRNA from 1 species
CCUGGUAGUCCACGCCGUAAACGAUGUCGAUUUGGAGGUUGUGCCCUUGAGGCGUGGCUUCCGGAGCUAACGCGUUAAAUCGACCGCCUGGGGAGUACGGCCGCAAGGUUAAAACUCAAAUGAAUUGACGGGGGCCCGCACAAGCGGUGGAGCAUGUGGUUUAAUUCGAUGCAACGCGAAGAACCUUACCUGGUCUUGACAUCCACAGAACUUAGCAGAGAUGCUUUGGUGCCUUCGGGAACUGUGAGACAGGUGCUGCAUGGCUGUCGUCAGCUCGUGUUGUGAAAUGUUGGGUUAAGUCCCGCAACGAGCGCAACCCUUAUCCUUUGUUGCCAGCGGUCCGGCCGGGAACUCAAAGGAGACUGCCAGUGAUAAACUGGAGGAAGGUGGGGAUGACGUCAAGUCAUCAUGGCCCUUACGACCAGGGCUACACACGUGCUACAAUGGCAUAUACAAAGAGAAGCGACCUCGCGAGAGCAAGCGGACCUCAUAAAGUAUGUCGUAGUCCGGAUUGGAGUCUGCAACUCGACUCCAUGAAGUCGGAAUCGCUAGUAAUCGUAGAUCAGAAUGCUACGGUGAAUACGUUCCCGGGCCUUGUACACACCGCCCGUCACACCAUGGGAGUGGGUUGCAAAAGAAGUAGGUAGCUUAACCUUCGGGAGGGCGCUUACCACUUUGUGAUUCAUGACUGGGGUGAAGUCGUAACAAGGUAACCGUAGGGGAACCUGCGGUUGGAUCACCUCCUUACCUUAAAGAA